UACUGUGUUCAGUUAUGGUCUCCUCACUACAAGAAAGCCAGGGAGCAUGUCCAAAGAAGGGCAGUGAAACUGGUGAGGGGUCUGGAGCACAGGCCUUAUGAGGAGCACCUGAGGGAACUGGGAUUGAGAGAGUCUGGCUGAGAGAUUCUGGAAAAGAAAGGGCUCAGGGGAGACAUUACUGCUAUCUACAGGUACUGAAAGGAGGUUGUGGUGAGGUGGGGGAUCAGCUUCUUCUCCCAUUAAACUAGAAGGAAUAGUCUCAAGUUGUGCCAGGGAAGGUUCAGGUUAGAUAUUAGGAAAAAUUUCUUCUCUAAAAGAGUGGCCAGGACCUGGAAUGGGCUGAACAAGGUGAUGGUUACGUUACUGUCCCUGGAAGUGCUCAAGAAACACUUGUUGAGUGGUACUAAAGAACAUGGUUUAGUGGGUGAAAUAUUGGUGGUAGGUGGAUGGUUGAACUGGACAAUCUGAGAGGUCUUUUCCAAGCUUGGUGAUUCUAUGACUCAGACAGUAGAUCAUAUGCAGGCCUCUGUGUUGUGGAAGCCUGUAUCAGCAGAAACACCUUGUGUGGUGGUAAUACAAAUAGACAUUUACAAAUAAAAGUGAAGCAAAUGGUUCUUGAUUGACCUUAAACAUUAUCAAGAAAUAUGGGAUUUUUGAAACUGAAGAAUAUUAUGAAAAUAUUUUUCUGUAUAGUGCUGCUCAGCACGUUAGAGACGUGUAACACACCUGUGGGAAUGUCUGUAGGGACUUAAUAUGCGCCUUGAGCAAUGGCUAAGACAUGCAGGUGAUAAUCGUCAAUAGGAUUUUAUUUUCUUUUGAUUAUCAGAGUAUCUGAGAGGGAGCAUGGCACAGACUCAGGGCAUAAAAAUCCUUUCUGCUGGUAGAUAUCAAUGCAGCUAGUAAAGGAGCAUAUGCUGAUCUGAGCUCACACAGCUUGCUUUUGCUUUUUAAGGGCUGCUUCUCUUAACGAAUAAAGAGAUUUUUCAUUUUUUCCAGAUUACUUUUCUGAUUAACCUACUCAGAAUGUAACUGAAUGCAAAACAAGCAUUAUUGGUUUGCUGCUGUGCCCUUUAGAUAAGUGUGAUGCCUGCCACUUUUACCACAAACUCAGCAUGUGCUUUUGGCGCAUGUCUUCCUUUGGAGACAUGGAGAAAUAGCUCCCCGUCCUACUCUCUAAGCUAGAUGGGGCUCUAUCCCCCCAGCCUUUACUGAAGCUGGUGUUAUUUUUUAAGUUAGACCUUUGGAUGCUAAGAAACUGAAAAUUUCUGUUCAGACCUCAAGGUAAUUUAGAACUUAUCAUAGAAUCAUAGAAUUACUUGAGUUGGAAGGGACCUUUAAAGGCUCUUUAGUCCAACUCCUCUUCAAUGAACAGGGACGUCUACAGCUAAAUCGGGUUGCUCAGAGCCCUGUCCAGCCUGACCUUGGAUGUUUCCGAGGAUGGGGCAUCCACCACCCCUCUGAGCAUCCUGUUCCAGUGCCUUAUCAACCUUAUUGUAAAAGACUUAUUAUUUAUUCCCAAUCUAAAUCUCUUCUCUUUUAAACCAUUUCCCCUUGUCCUAUCACAACAGCCCCUCCUUUAGAUUCUGAGAGGUCGUUAUCAGAUCACCUCAGAACCUUCUCAAGACUGAACAGCCCCAGCUCUCUCAGCUUGACCUCAUAAAGGUGUUCUGUCCCUUGGAGCAUUUUUGUGACCCCUCGUUUGGAUGCAUUCCAACAGGUCUAUGUCUCUCCUGUACUGAGAACUCCACAUCCAGAUACAGUACUCCAUGUGAGGUUUCACCGGCACAGAGCAGAGGGGCAGGAUCGCCUCCCUCGAUCUGCUGGCCGUGCCUCUUUUGAUGAAGCCUAGGAUACAGUUGGCUUUCCAGGCUGUGAGGGCACAUUGCUGGCUCAUGUCCGGCUUCCAAUCCACCAGUACCCCCAAGACCUUUUCAGCAGGGCAGUGCUCCACCUUUACACUGCCAAGCUUGAACUGGUAGCAUGGGUUGCCACAACCCAGGUGCAAGAACUCACACUUGGAUUUGUUCUCAUGAGAUUCACCUGGGCAUGAGCCUGUCUUAGUCUCUCUGGGUCAAAUCCUGUCCCUCGGCCAUGUCAGCCACACCACAGAGCUUGGUAUCAUCCACAAGCUGGGAUGUACCAAGCUGAGAGUACACUCGAUCUCACUGUUCAUAUCAUUGAUGUUAAAGAGAUUGAGAUGUUAAAGAGAUGUUAAAGAGCACUGGUGCCAGUACCAACCCCUGUGGGACACCACUUGUCACUCAUCUCUGUCUGGACCUUGAGCCAUUUCUGAGUAUGAUCUCAACCAGUUCCUCAUCCAUCAAACAGUUUACCCAUCAAAUCCACGUCUUUCCAAUUUGGGAGAGAAGGAUGUUGUUGGGUUAUAUGUCAAAGGCCUUAACUAAAGUCCAGACAGAUGACAUCAGUGGUUCUUCACUUGUACAGUGACAUAGUUAUGCCAUCAUAGAAAGCCACUAUGUUGGUCAGGUAGGACCUGCUCUUGGUGAAGCUAUGUUGGUUAUUCCAUAUCACCUCCCUCUCUUUCAUUUGCUGUGUUAUACCUUCCAGGAGGAUCUGAUCCAUGCACUUUGCUGGCACAUGGGUGACGCUGACAGGAAGCUGCAUGGAUCAUCAACAUUCCUAAAGGAUCUGAGGGUUACUUUAUUAAAAGUCAUGUUAGAGUGAAGAGGCAGUGGAGCCAUUUCAGCCCAUCUUCAAAAGAGUGAGUGAAAACUUUGUAUUUUUCUUGUCUGACUGAUGGAACUAUUUUGGCAGAUCCUUCAUGACUGAGCAUCCUUUAUUACAGAGCUCACUGCAAUCUAUGGUGGAAAAUAGAAAAAUAACACAACAUAUAUUGUAUGUUUUACC